UCCUGGACUUUUUCGCCGAGAGACAAAAGGGAAAAGACGUUUUACACCGUAUACCCGACCAAAAAAAAGUUUUCUGGUGAACUUUUUUCUCCUUGAGAAACAACGUUCCAAAACCCCCAAAGGAGACGAAGAACUCCAGCUUAUAUUGGCUGGUCUGGGUAAACGUUCUCUCUCAGUAACAGAGAGUUUAACACAUACAGAGCUGACAGAUUUGUUGCUUAAUGCAUUUCCAAGGCUUGCAAGCAUCAAUGGUGGCUGGUUGCUAUACAAGUCUACAGGUGGUGGUGGGCAGCGCAGAUUAGUUGUUAUUCCUCCUGAUUCUGAUGGUUAUAGUGGGCACCAAC